AACACCUAGGAGGAUCCUGAGUACGGCGGAACACGAGAAAUUCCGUCGGAAUCCGCGGGGACCAUCCCGCAAGGCUAAAUACUCCCUAGUGACCGAUAGUGAACCAGUACCGUGAGGGAAAGGUGAAAAGCACCCCGGAAGGGGAGUGAAAUAGAUCCUGAAACCGUGUGCCUACAACAAGUCAAAGCUCGUUAAUGAGUGAUGGCGUGCCUUUUGUAGAAUGAACCGGCGAGUUACGAUUGCAUGCGAGGUUAAGUCGAAGAGACGGAGCCGCAGCGAAAGCGAGUCUGAAUAGGGCGAAUGAGUAUGUAGUCGUAGACCCGAAACCAUGUGAUCUACCCAUGUCCAGGUUGAAGGUGCGGUAAAACGCACUGGAGGACCGAACCCACGUACGUUGAAAAGUGCGGGGAUGAGGUGUGGGUAGCGGAGAAAUUCCAAACGAACUUGGAGAUAGCUGGUUCUCUCCGAAAUAGCUUUAGGGCUAGCCUCGGAAUUGAGAAUGAUGGAGGUAGAGCACUGUUUGGACUAGGGGCCCAUCUCGGGUUACCGAAUUCAGAUAAACUCCGAAUGCCAUUCAUUUAUAUCCGGGAGUCAGACUGCGAGUGAUAAGAUCCGUAGUCGAAAGGGAAACAGCCCAGACCACCAGCUAAGGUCCCAAAAUAUAUGUUAAGUGGAAAAGGAUGUGGGGUUGCACAGACAACUAGGAUGUUGGCUUAGAAGCAGCCACCAUUUAAAGAGUGCGUAAUAGCUCACUAGUCGAGUGACCCUGCGCCGAAAAUGUACCGGGGCUAAACAUAUUACCGAAGCUGUGGACUACACCAUUAGGUGUAGUGGUAGGAGAGCGUUCUAAGGGCGUUGAAGGUCGAUCGUGAGGACGGCUGGAGCGCUUAGAAGUGAGAAUGCCGGUAUGAGUAGCGAAAGACAGGUGAGAAUCCUGUCCACCGUAUGACUAAGGUUUCCUGGGGAAGGCUCGUCCGCCCAGGGUUAGUCGGGACCUAAGCCGAGGCCGAUAGGCGUAGGCGAUGGACAACAGGUUGAUAUUCCUGUACCAGUUGUUUUUGUUUGA
rnacentral:rRNA from 1 species